rnacentral:rRNA from 1 species
UGUGAGGUUAAGCGACUAAGCGUACACGGUGGAUGCCCUGGCAGUCAGAGGCGAUGAAGGGCGUGCUAAUCUGCGAUAAGCGCCGGUAAGGUGAUAUGAACCGUUAUAACCGGCGAUACCCGAAUGGGGAAACCCAGUGUGAUUCGUCACACUAUCAUUAACUGAAUCCAUAGGUUAAUGAGGCGAACCGGGGGAACUGAAACAUCUAAGUACCCCGAGGAAAAGAAAUCAACCGAGAUUCCCCCAGUAGCGGCGAGCGAACGGGGAGGAGCCCAGAGCCUGAAUCAGCAUGUGUGUUAGUGGAAGCGUCUGGAAAGGCGCGCGAUACAGGGUGACAGCCCCGUACACAAAAGCGCAUGUGCUGUGAGCUCGAUGAGUAGGGCGGGACACGUGGUAUCCUGUCUGAAUAUGGGGGGACCAUCCUCCAAGGCUAAAUACUCCUGACUGACCGAUAGUGAACCAGUACCGUGAGGGAAAGGCGAAAAGAACCCCGGCGAGGGGAGUGAAAAAGAACCUGAAACCGUGUACGUACAAGCAGUGGGAGCCCCACCACUAAGCCAGUGGUGAACUCCACAUACGCAUCCUUUGCUGAGGAUACGGUUAACGGAGCGAAAGCGACGUUCAACCUCAAAAGAAGCAGAGG